GUUCAUCCAGCUUCGCAUUUUAUUGCCUGCAUUUUCUGAUUGGUUAGGGUGCUCGCUGUACUCCGUUUUCUCUACUUGGUUGGAGGACCGGCUAUACGUCACGAUCUUCCAGCCCCGCCCCUUACAACCUGUUGCUCGGAGCGUCAUCAACAAGUUGGGCAGCUGUUGGAGCAUGCGCAUAGUUAGUUGGAAUUGUGAGCAUGGCUGCUUUAUGUGGCUGUUGGAAAGUAAUGUUCGUCCAUCACAUCCAUAGACGAUGAGACCACGUGGCAGCAAGCAAUAAAUGGAGGAUGCAGGUGUCAGGUUCGUUUUCGGACACCCUCACAGACUUAAUGCAAUAACAAGACACUGACCUGUUUAGAAAAACACAAAUCCUUUUAUUACCAAGCAAGUACAAGCUGUGGAGAAUCACUGAACUUAACCCGGCACAGAGUGCACAGUCUCCUUCUGACAACAAAUGGCCACAAAUCGAUCAAAGAUGAAAGUGACGGUGAACCAGACAGAACAGUCAGUGGCUGCAUAAAGCAGGACGGCGUAGAUAUUACACACGGGGAUGAACAACAGGAAAUAAAACUGUUCCAGAUAAACAAUGGGAAUGUGUCUCAAUAUCAGGUCGAGGAUAAUGACCAGUAGAUCCGCCACUGCCAUGGCCCCCAGGUAACGUUUGACACAUGGAGACAAUCCACAAUCUUUAUAAAGCAGGACGUAGAUCGUCACUACGUUAACUGUGAGGAAGGAGAACAAAUAAAUUAUACAUCAGCCUGGAGGAAAAGUUACCAGUUUGACUGAGGACCCAGUGGCAUUUUCAAAUGUGUCACUGAUUUAUUGGGGAAAAAAAACUCAAAUAACAAAUAGUAAUUUCUCAAUUUUGUUUGCGAGAAACGCAACGUGAAACACAAGAAGCACUCCCACCCGAAACACACAGACACACAUCAUUAAGAACGGAUGUUUUCUGGAACAUUCCCGCAGACUCGAUCACUCGAGCGCAGUCACAGGUCACUUCUUCACAGUUCCUGAUACAGAGGGUGAAGACGUUGCAUUCCUGAAGGAUUCUCUCCCAGUUCCUUGAAGACAAACAGAGUAUAAAAAAAUCUGUCUGUUCGUCUAAAUUGUGGUCAAUUUUCAGUGUGAAGAAACAUGAACACAGGGAAAAUGUAUUCACCCCUUUAACUCCCUGAGGGGAUUUUGAAACAGUAUCUCCUUCUCCCUGCAACGGGAUCAUUUCCCUCAGGAUCUUAUCUUUUGUUCAAUUAACUGACAUCCAACCAUUCACCAAUAAUGUCAGUUACAGAAUGUUCUGGGGAAUGUCAGUUACAGAAUGUUCCAGGGAAUGUCGGUUACAGAAUGUUCCGGUGAAUUUCGGUUAUGGAAUGUGAUGGAAUUAUAAAGACCCACAUCACGAAGGCCCUUCUGUCCAUCAGUUUUGGUGAGACCCACUCAGCCUCGUGGUGGAAAUCUCUCCCCAAACUCAACACAACUGGCAAACACAAA